rnacentral:rRNA from 1 species
AUGGAAGCACAAGUAUGCAAAAACUACACAGAGCGUUGGGUCAACAAAUAUGUGGAACCAAGGAAGAGUAUAGACCGUGUGGAAGGUUUUGUCAUCGUCGCGGCUGUGUUUAUGACCGCCCUUGCCAUUCUCUCGCCCAGGAGGCGUCAAUCUCGGAGCAUCAUUAUAAGAUAUGGAGUGGGCGGAGUGUUUAUAUUGUCCUUCCCACUUCUCUCCUACACUGUGGGACUGAUGCAGGCCGGGAAAAUUAAAAACGAGUUGUACCCGGUUUGGGCAAUGUUUCUGGCCAUGCUUUUCGGAGGCACCAGCUCAAUGUCUGUCCAGAAGCUCGAUCAAAACAAGCAACUCAUGAAGCUCUACUGUGAUUGUAUCUUGUUCUCGAUGUGCACCGGCACGGUAUUAGGUGGUUUUAUUUAUACAUUCGGUAUGAAGCAUAGUUCCAGUCGCCUUGUUCCUUUCAUUGGUUGCUUGUUCGUCGUGGGAUAUCUAUUGGGAAUUAAAACGGCUGAGCAGUGGUCUGCUGCAUGGUUAGCAAGCAAACCAUCAUCGAACAAUGGCAUCAAGUGGCUGGCCCUCUACAUGAAGGGUGAGCACAAACUCAGCGCAUCCUACGACCCUCGUACCAUGCAGGGAUACAAGUACCCGAUUCUAAUCCAUGCUGGGGGAGCAAAAAUUGGAGAAAAUGCAAUCACAUUGGAUAACAUUUGGUGUGACAACAUCGGUAUCUUGUCAUCUUACUAUAGAGCUCCUAUCCGUCGUCUCAAGGAUCUGUGUCUCUCAUUCGCACUGUUCCAUCUCGUGGUUCGGCGAUACUUUGGCUACACUUGUCCUGAAUCUGGGCUUGACAAGACUCGUGAUCUUGUUCUUGAUGGGCUGUUGCAAACAGAACAGGACUAUGAAAGAGCAUUUCAAGUGAUUGAAGCAGAGUUGGCUUUCCUCUACGAUUUCUUCUUCACCAAAUAUGCCUCCAUAAUGUACAGCAACGAGCUAAGGUAUUAUGCUCUUUCACUCACCCUCACAUUGGUCAGUAUAGCGGCUGGUGCAUGGUCUCUUAGUGUUUUGAACCGGCACGGUUCUAUUUUGGACAGUCGUUUUGUACAAACCAGCACACAAGAUGUCCUGGUUACCCUAAUAGCAUUGGCUGCACUGUCGGUAUCUCAGUUCCUGCAGAUAUGGUCUUACUGUGUCUCUGACUGGGCAAAAAUAUCCUUUGUUUGUAAGUACGUAGCACAUCCAUCAUGGCAAGGGAACACCCGUAUUGAGAAGCUUCUUUUAUGUUUUGGACGACCUCACAAGUGGCUUCGCUAUUGGCGCAACACUAUUGGCCAAUACUCGGUUCUUGAUUCCUUUAGUUCCAGCUACCGGCAUCGGUUGAAACAUCUCCUUCCAACUGAGGAAGCAGGCAAGCCUGUGGAGUUGCCAAUGCAAAUCAACGAUGAAUAUACACUGACCGACAGCAUACUGGCAUGGCAUGUCGCCACUAGCUUCUGUGAGAUCUCGGAUACAAUCAAACGCCCACACGAUGUGCACCCGAAUCAAGUUGUCGCCACUAUCUUGUCCAAGUAUUGUACCUACUUGGUCGCCUUUGCACCAACGUUGCUUCCAGGCAGUGCGCCAGAAACAAAGUGUGCUCUCGAUGAGAUAGUAAAAGAAGCCAAAGAAAUGCUGCAUGAUCUCGUAUCUCCAAGGGAAAAGUAUGAAAAGCUUAGUGAACUAGAGUAUGUCGUAGGUGGUGGAAGAAAAUUGUUCACCUAUGGUGCUGUGCUGGGGAAAGCGCUGGAGAGCAUGGACAAUCAUGCGAACCGGUGGGACCUACUGGCAGAUUUCUGGGCCGAGAUGAUGGUGUAUAUUGCCCCAUCUAACAAUGUAGCUGGUCACAUAGAACUUCUUGCGGAAGGAGGCGAGUUUGUGACUCACGUCUGGGCUUUGCUCAUGCAUGCUGGUAUCCUUGAGCGUCCCACUACUACAAUAAUCCCCUAG